rnacentral:rRNA from 1 species
AUAAUGGGUCAGCGACUUAUAUUCUGUAGCAAGGUUAACCGAAUAGGGGAGCCGAAGGGAAACCGAGUCUUAACUGGGCGUUAAGUUGCAGGGUAUAGACCCGAAACCCGGUGAUCUAGCCAUGGGCAGGUUGAAGGUUGGGUAACACUAACUGGAGGACCGAACCGACUAAUGUUGAAAAAUUAGCGGAUGACUUGUGGCUGGGGGUGAAAGGCCAAUCAAACCGGGAGAUAGCUGGUUCUCCCCGAAAGCUAUUUAGGUAGCGCCUCGUGAAUUCAUCUCCGGGGGUAGAGCACUGUUUCGGCAAGGGGGUCAUCCCGACUUACCAACCCGAUGCAAACUGCGAAUACCGGAGAAUGUUAUCACGGGAGACACACGGCGGGUGCUAACGUCCGUCGUGAAGAGGGAAACAACCCAGACCGCCAGCUAAGGUCCCAAAGUCAUGGUUAAGUGGGAAACGAUGUGGGAAGGCCCAGACAGCCAGGAUGUUGGCUUAGAAGCAGCCAUCAUUUAAAGAAAGCGUAAUAGCUCACUGGUCGAGUCGGCCUGCGCGGAAGAUGUAACGGGGCUAAACCAUGCACCGAAGCUGCGGCAGCGACGCUUAUGCGUUGUUGGGUAGGGGAGCGUUCUGUAAGCCUGUGAAGGUGUACUGUGAGGUAUGCUGGAGGUAUCAGAAGUGCGAAUGCUGACAUAAGUAACGAUAAAGCGGGUGAAAAGCCCGCUCGCCGGAAGACCAAGGGUUCCUGUCCAACGUUAAUCGGGGCAGGGUGAGUCGACCCCUAAGGCGAGGCCGAAAGGCGUAGUCGAUGGGAAACAGGUUAAUAUUCCUGUACUUGGUGUUACUGCGAAGGGGGGACGGAGAAGGCUAUGUUGGCCGGGCGACGGUUGUCCCGGUUUAAG